rnacentral:rRNA from 1 species
UUUUAUGGAGAGUUUGAUCCUGGCUCAGGAUGAACGCUGGCGGCGUGCCUAAUACAUGCAAGUCGAGCGAACGGACGAGAAGCUUGCUUCUCUGAUGUUAGCGGCGGACGGGUGAGUAACACGUGGAUAACCUACCUAUAAGACUGGGAUAACUUCGGGAAACCGGAGCUAAUACCGGAUAAUAUUUUAGA